UAGGGGCAAUAAUUGUUCUUCAGGUCGUGAUGGUGGAAUUUCUAAAGAGGUUCGCAGGUACAGAGAGGCUGAAUUGGGGGCAAUGGGGUGCUAGCAUUGGAAUAGCAGCUAUGUCAUGGCCAGUUGCUUGGUAUGUCAAGUGGAUACCUGUCCCAAGCAAACCAUUUUUUAACUAUCUAAAGUGGAAACAUUAGGACAUAGAAAUACAACUAGUAAUCCUUAGGGUUUGUUUUAUAGUUUUAUGAGCAUCUGAUAGUGCCCUUGUACGCAGAACAAAACAGGGUUUAGAUUUUGUACAGUUUCAUAAAUAUAUAGUUUGUUUCCUCAAAUCAGGGUAGCUUUUACAAUGUCACACCCUUUGGUUGGAACAAAAUCAAGGCAAGGAUGGCAAAGAAGCAGAUUUUUCAUGAACAAUUAGUUUCAGCGGCAUGUAUCUAUAUGAUCCUGCUAACUAGAAUAAAGAUUAGUUGUCAAACCAAUCGUAGCAGAGCAUGUUGGUAAGAGAUUGCAUCCAUUAAUUAAGAUUAAGAUUACAAAAGGAUAAGACCAAUGAACAAGAACAGCAAAUCAAAUGGAAAAAUAGAGCUCAAGUCUUAUAUCAUUUACGUAAUGUAAUUAUCAGCAAACCUAAACAAAUCCAGUUUUGAACAAGUGUAAUAUGCUAAUUAGACUUCCUAAUCAGUGUGUAAUUUUAGCUAACAUAUAACACGCUUCUAUUGAACUGUAACAUGCUAAAAGUAGAACACAUCCUAAAUUUUUCAUUAAAGAUAAAGAAUGGAAAUUCAAUGAAAAUGGACCUGGUCGAAUGCCCGAGUAACUUUUUGAACAGGAUUAAUUGACAGACCUACUUCGGCGUCGCUCUUCUUCAGUAUCCUCCUGGGUCGUCACUCCAGCUCUUGUUCUCGCAGUGCGUUCUGAAGACUGAAGUGAUAACUUACCUACCAUGAUUGAUGGCGCACAUGGAAAUCCCUGUGAUUGUCCCCUCACCUUCAUAGAAAAAUGGGAUGGGCUCAGGGCCCAUUGUGUACAACUUUCUGGGU
rnacentral:lncRNA from 1 species